AGAGUUUGAUCAUGGCUCAGAUUGAACGCUGGCGGCAUGCUUUACACAUGCAAGUCGAGCGGCAGCGCGGGGGCAACCCUGGCGGCGAGCGGCGAACGGGUGAGUAACACAUCGGAACGUGCCCGUAGUGGGGGAUAGCCCGGCGAAAGCCGGAUUAAUACCGCAUAUGCUCUACGGAGGAAAGCGGGGGAUUCGCAAGAACCUCGCGCUAUGGGAGCGGCCGAUGUCCGAUUAGCUUGUUGGUGAGGUAAAGGCUCACCAAGGCGACGAUCGGUAGCUGGUCUGAGAGGAUGAUCAGCCACACUGGGACUGAGACACGGCCCAGACUCCUACGGGAGGCAGCAGUGGGGAAUUUUGGACAAUGGGGGCAACCCUGAUCCAGCCAUGCCGCGUGAGUGAAGAAGGCCUUCGGGUUGUAAAGCUCUUUUGGCCGGAAAGAAAAGAUCUCGUCUAAUAAACGAGGUUCUUGACGGUACCGGCAGAAUAAGCACCGGCUAACUACGUGCCAGCAGCCGCGGUAAUACGUAGGGUGCGAGCGUUAAUCGGAAUUACUGGGCGUAAAGAGUGCGUAGGCGGUUCUUUGUGUCCGCUGUGAAAUCCCCGGGCUUAACCUGGGAAUGGCAGUGGAAACUAGAGGACUUGAAUCCGGCAGAGGGGGGUGGAAUGCCACGUGUAGCAGUGAAAUGCGUAGAUAUGUGGCGGAACACCGAUGGCGAAGGCACCCCCUGGGCUGAGAUUGACGCUCAGGCACGAAAGCGUGGGGAGCAAACAGGAUUAGAUACCCUAGUAGUCC
rnacentral:rRNA from 1 species